rnacentral:rRNA from 1 species
CCUACGGGAGGCAGCAGUGGGGAAUUUUGGACAAUGGGCGCAAGCCUGAUCCAGCAAUGCCGCGUGCAGGAUGAAGGCCUUCGGGUUGUAAACUGCUUUUGUACGGAACGAAACGGCUCUUUCUAAUAAAGAGAGCUAAUGACGGUACCGUAAGAAUAAGCACCGGCUAACUACGUGCCAGCAGCCGCGGUAAUACGUAGGGUGCGAGCGUUAAUCGGAAUUACUGGGCGUAAAGCGUGCGCAGGCGGUUAUAUAAGACAGAUGUGAAAUCCCCGGGCUCAACCUGGGACCUGCAUUUGUGACUGUAUAGCUAGAGUACGGUAGAGGGGGAUGGAAUUCCGCGUGUAGCAGUGAAAUGCGUAGAUAUGCGGAGGAACACCGAUGGCGAAGGCAAUCCCCUGGACCUGUACUGACGCUCAUGCACGAAAGCGUGGGGAGCAAACAGGAUUAGAUACCCUGGUAGUCCACGCCCUAAACGAUGUCAACUGGUUGUUGGGUCUUCACUGACUCAGUAACGAAGCUAACGCGUGAAGUUGGCCGCCUGGGGAGUACGGCCGCAAGGUUGAAACUUAGAAAGUAGUAGCGUGNGAGAGCGACGACGACGACGACGGAGGAGGAGG